rnacentral:rRNA from 1 species
CUAAAGAUGGCGACCGGCGCACGGGUGAGUAACACGUAUCCAACCUGCCGAUAACUCGGGGAUAGCCUUUCGAAAGAAAGAUUAAUACCCGAUGGCAUAAUUAGACCGCAUGGUCUUAUUAUUAAAGAAUUUCGGUUAUCGAUGGGGAUGCGUUCCAUUAGGCAGUUGGUGAGGUAACGGCUCACCAAACCUUCGAUGGAUAGGGGUUCUGAGAGGAAGGUCCCCCACAUUGGAACUGAGACACGGCCCAA